CCCCCCUCUGUCGGAGGAUAUAAGACAGAGAAAUUAUUUCAUUUCUCUGUCUGAACAUUCUUCAGAUUUGCAUCGUGUCAGAGUUCUGCUCUUCUUCAUCUUCAGAGUUUUUGAAGUUUAGAUUUUACAUUUCUACAUUUUUGGACCUUCGUACCUGAAACUUUCCCCACCAACUCUUCGGUAUCUCUCCUGCUGCUGACUCUAGAACUCAUCUCUCUCCUGUCAUUCAGAUCAACAUGAAGAUCUCUAUCUUUGCUGGUGUUCUGCUGCUCUCUGCUGCCGUGAUCUUUGUGGAUGGACAA